CUGGGCAUAUCUUCACAGAGCAAGCGAAGCCUACAUCUUAUACUUUUUGCAGCAUAAGUUUCCAGGGGAAUUAGGUCAUCAAGUAAUCUUUAUUCUACAAUAAUCCUACAAAAAAUAAAAGGCGGAUUAGCGUUGGACAGUUGUUUCUUCUGGUUGGACCCCACACUUUUGUUGCUUUUGGGACAAUUUAAAAACCAUGAGAUUGUGUUUUAUUCCAUUGUCUCAGCCCAUAUCUUCAAUUGUUGGACUUCUUCUACCAAUUAAUGUUUCAUGCUCAUCAAUUCCCUCUCCUUUUUUCUUUUUAUUACUUCAAGUUUAUUCAAGUUGCUUUUUCUUGCUUUGUGAAGGAGAAUUUCCAAGUAGGAAUGCUGUCAUCAAGCAUAUCGCUAUCCCAAUCUGUGGAAUAAAAAGGCAGCUUCAUGGGAGAGAUUGGGUUAUGGUGGCUAUUGGCUAAUCAAUGUAAGUGGGUGGGUUGGCUGAUUGAUUGAUGGUUAAUCCAAUUACAUUACACGUUGGUUUUUGGAGUAUCAUACAGUGGUCCCUACUUCUCAUCAGGUACAGUUUCUCCCACCACUAUCUCAUGGCUUCUCUUCUGGACAAAUUCAAAGUGGGUUUUUUAAUUAUCCUGUGAGUCCUCACAGAAUGCCAAAACUGACUAGGGUUUGAAAAAACUCCAUUAGAAUUUCAGAACAACAAAUAUUGUUCCUUCUCAACAAAUAUUGUUCCUUCCGAGAAGGAACACAUUGAUUUGAAAUGUCUGCUCAUACCAAAUACUGACGUAUCAAGAGCACUCAAUUUGUUUCUAAAGUUAAGUUCUCUCACCCGGAAAUUUCACCCUCCUUUUUAGUGCCUGGCAGGGGUAUGCAUAUGCUAAAGAUGACGUCAGGAUCAUUGUUGAAUGAAAGCGUAGUCUUGAAGCGCCAAGGAAGGUACUUCCCAACAACCAAAUUCCAUUAUAAUUUUACUUGAAACUGACUUAAAAAGAACUGCUGCUAAAGAGAAGUGUAUUGAUGAGAGAAUCUGUUGAUUCUCAAUUAAAGUUGAAAAAGAGAGACUAUCUUGGUUUUGUGGGACUACGAGACUGUUCAAGACAGCGUUGAAGAAAGAAUAAUUUAGAGCUGAUCCACGUAGACUGGCAAGGGAAUUCAAAGACGUCGUUGACUAUGCAUAUUUUUUAAUGAUUGAGCACUUGAGACUUAUAGUUAUCUGCAUUGUCUUUGCUUAAAAUUACGCAAUAGAAAUGAACUGGGUAAAAUUCAUGACCUGGAUGAGUUACUAUACUUUUAAUUA